GAUGAAGAACGUAUUGAAAUGCGAUAAGUAAUGUGAAUUGCAGAAUUCAGUGAAUCAUCGAAUCUUUGAACGCACAUUGCGCCCCCUGGUAUUCCGGGGGGCAUGCCUGUCCGAGCGUCAUUACAACCCUCAAGCUCAGCUUGGUGUUGGGCCCCGCCGCCCCGGCGGGCCCUAAAGUCAGUGGCGGUGCCGUCCGGCUCCGAGCGUAGUAAUUCUUCUCGCUCUGGAGGUCCGGUCGUGUGCUCGCCAGCAACCCCCAAUUUUUUUCAGGUUGACCUCGGAUCAGGUAGGGAUACCCGCUGAACUUAAGCAUAUCAAUAAGCGGAGGA
rnacentral:misc_RNA from 1 species